GAAAUGCGAUACGUAAUGCGAAUUGCAGAAUUCAGUGAAUCAUCGAAUUUUUGAACGCAAAUUGCGCUUUCGGGAUAGGCCUGAAAGCAUGUUUCUUUGAGCCUCGUGUCUAACCCACCUCGGCUGCGUGCCGGAAAAUGAAAGUCUUGCGGCAUGGACGCAAGUCUUUUUAAGCAAAUGGAAUCCAUGGCGUUUGAUCCGCCUGACAUCUUUUUCGUCAACGAGCGGCGCGAUUAAAAAGUUCUUACUUUUUUCUCGUCGUGAGUCGAUGAACUGAUGUCUUGCACAGUCAAUGCUAAUGGGUGAAAUCGGAAAACACUUUUUGACUUAGAGCUCAAAUGAAGCAAGAUAACCCGCUGAACUUAA
rnacentral:misc_RNA from 1 species